AAAUUCGGCUUCGUCAACCUGGGGCCGGUGGGUGGGACCGGGAUGGACGGGAAGUGGGAGCUUGGAGGGGACUGGACGACCCUAGACCCCGACAAGGGGGAGGGAGCCCACAAGGUCUUCUAAAUAUCAAGAGUCCCAGCCCACCCCUGCCUCAGCCAAGCUCAGCUUCUGGGACUCCCAGAGAGCACCUGCUGGGGAAGGACAAAGAAGGGGGCUGUUACCGGCCCUCGGGGGCUCCAGCAGGGGAGCCGGGUCCCAUCGGUGCGGCCGCUUCCCCACAUCCCCAGAUCUUCCCUGACGGGCAGUACUUUCACCUGCGGCACCGGGGCGUGGUCCAGCAGUCCCUGACCCCGCACUGGGGCCACCGCCUGCACCUGAAGAAAAACCCCAAGGUGCAGUGGUUCCAGCAGCAGACGCUGCAGCGGCGGGUGAAACGCUCUGUGGUGGUGCCCACGGACCCCUGGUUCUCCAAGCAGUGGUACAUGAACAGCGAGGCCCAACCAGACCUGAGCAUCCUGCAGGCCUGGAGUCAGGGGCUGUCAGGCCAGGGCAUCGUGGUCUCUGUGCUGGACGAUGGCAUCGAGAAGGACCACCCGGACCUCUGGGCCAACUACGUGAGACCGCGGGUGGCUGUGGGCGAGGGCUGCCCCAGGUGCCGAGGCUGGCACCACCCUAGGGACGCCUCCCGGCCCCCUCAUAUCCCCACCUGCCCCCAGGACCCCCUGGCCAG
rnacentral:sRNA from 1 species